UUACGUCCUGCGCUGUUAAGGGGUUAAGGUUAAAAUGGGCUUGGUCCUUAAGGGGUUAAUAUCUGAUAUGUCCCCUAUCUGGGGACCAUAUAUUAAAUGGAUUUUUGAGAACGGGGGCCGAUUUCCAAGCUUGCUUCCGUCGCCCUAUGCAUUGACCCGAUAUGGCAGUAUCUUUGGGUACAGUGCACCACCC